rnacentral:lncRNA from 1 species
AGCUUCUUACAAGAAUAUAUACUGAGAAAUUCUUGGGUUCAUCCCCUAGGGUGAACCUAUAGAUUCACCAACCAAUAGUAUUGAGUAUUUGAUAUUUAAUAUCUUUUAAAAAAAGAAACAAAAUUGAAUUUCCAAAUAAGAUUAUAUUUUUAAAAUAAAACAAUAAAAAUAGUUACAAAAAAUAAAUAAAUAAAUAUUGUUAAACCGUUAGGAAAAUAUUAAAUUCUAUACCCUAAAUCCUAAACUCUAAACCCUAAAUUAUAAACCUUAAAUCUUGGAUAUACCGUAAACCAUUAGAAAAUUUUAAACCCUAAAUCAUACAAUAAAAACUAAAUCUUAAUAAAAAUAAACCCUAAACCUUAAUCACUAAACCCUGAACCCUUGGAUAAACCCUGAACCCUUGGAUAAACCCUGAACCCUUGGAUAAAUCAUAAACUUUAAAUCAAAAAUAUUUAAAAUUAAACCCUAGA